UGUUGGUAUAGUUUUUUGGUGCGAAUAUUUGCACUGACUCUGUUCAUGUCUUUCUAGGGGAGACCAGAAUCAGUGAAACAGUGGAGGAAAAGUUAAAUCAUGUUGUUCUUAUCUAAUUCAGAGCACUGCAUAUGCUGCAUGCCCAUACUUCAACAGCUGGGAGAACUUCUAUGGAUUUGAGACCCUAAUCCAGCAUCCUACCUGAAAAUUAGCCAGCCUGAAUUCUGGGAGCAGUAUAGUCAUGCUAGCAGGUUGCUCUAA
ensembl:lncRNA